rnacentral:lncRNA from 1 species
CUCUACUAAAAAUACAAAAAUUAGCUGAGUGUGGUGGCAGGUGCCUGUAAUCCCAGCUACUUGGGAGGCUGAGGCAGGAGAAUCGCUUGAACCCAGGAAGAAAUAAUGGCAGAAAAAAAAUUCAAAUUUGGAGAAAGAUGUAAAUAUCCAAAUACAGGAAGGUCAAAAGUUUCCAAUCAGAUUCAAUCCGAAUGUAAUAAGACUACAUCAAAACAUAUUACAUAUUAUAAUGAAACUGUCAAAAAUCAAAAACAAAGAAAAAAUUAUAAAAGCAGCAGGAAAAAAGAACCAAAUAAUAUAUAAUGGUUUUUCCAAUAAGGCUAGCAGAUUUCUCAGCAGAGACCUUAUAGGCCAGAAGAAACUUGGAUGAGAUGUUCAAAGUGCAGGAAGAAAACUGCCAACCAGCAAUACUGUACUUGGAAAAGCUGUCCUUUAGAAAUAAAGAUGAGGU